rfam:Rattus norvegicus chromosome 10, whole genome shotgun sequence.
GCGCUCACUAUCUGGCUGCGGCAUCAGUCACCCCAUUGAUCACCAAGGUUGAUUCAGCUGAUCUGGCUGGAUAGAUAGGUGUCCCCUUCCUCUCUCACAGCUCCCUGUGAGUCCCUCCCAAAGCUAUGACCUUCCCCAAAUAGAGGAGGAUCAAGGGUAUUGGACUAGCUGUGCUCCCCUGCUAGAACCUCUAAACAAGCUCUCAAGGUUUCUAUUUGUAAUGAAGAGUAAGUUCCUCUUUCUUAGAUCUGGCUGUAAAUUGCUUGAAACACCAUUCACAUCAUGUAUAUACUAGCC